rnacentral:rRNA from 1 species
AUACGUAGGGGGCGAGCGUUGUCCGGAAUGAUUGGGCGUAAAGGGCGCGUAGGCGGCCCGGUAAGUCUGGAGUGAAAGUCCUGUUUUUAAGAUGGGAAUUGCUUUGGAUACUGUCGGGCUUGAGUGCAGGAGAGGUAAGUGGAAUUCCCAGUGUAGCGGUGAAAUGCGUAGAGAUUGGGAGGAACACCAGUGGCGAAGGCGACUUACUGGACUGUAACUGACGCUGAGGCGCGAAAGUGUGGGGAGCAAACAGGAUUAGAUACCCUGGUAGUCCACACUGUAAACGAUGAAUGCUAGGUGUAGGGGGUAUCGACCCCUUCUGUGCCGCAGUCAACACAAUAAGCAUCCCGCCUGGGGAGUACGGCCGCAAGGUUGAAACUUAAAUGAAUUGACGGGG